rnacentral:misc_RNA from 1 species
UUAGGCUAUUUUGAAACCAAUAGUCUUGCUUUCUUUCACCACAUGAAAUCUGUGUGAAGGUGUUUUUAAACAUAAGUAAAAUCAAUAGCUUUCUUGUUCUGUGGUUGAUCAUAUUAUUAUGAUGCACACUCCAAGUCCCAUAUGCAUGUACAUAAACCAAUCAAACCAGUAUGCACUUGAUGAAAUCUCAACUAAACCACAUAUGCUGAGCUAGUAUGUGCUAAGGAAUUGUAAGGAAUUGUGAUAUAUCAAAUAUGCUUGAUAAUGACUCUAAGUUGAGCUCGACAAUUGUGAACAAGAGAAAAUUAGAAACAUUGUAAUUCUUCUCCAUCCUCGAGAAGUAUAAUGCUGGCAAGAGAAACCAGCCAUAUUAAAUGUUCCUUCAAAUAACUAUAAAACUAAAGUUUCUCAUCAUAGUAGCUUUGGUAGUGAUGGGUUUCUUUCUGGUUUAUUGAUGAUGAGUCUAUUAGCAUAUAUGUUUAGUACCACUGCAGACAUCCUUCAACUUAUUGAUAACCUUAUUAGGAUAGCAACUAUUGAACUAUUUGAUAGACAUACGCAAUCUCAUAUACAAAACCUGAGUUCAAUUAUUUUUCACCUCUUAAUGUAGGUCCAUUACACUGCAAGAUUUGCAGAUGGGAUAGUUUUCGACAGCAGCUAUAAACGUGGUAGACCUCUCACCAUGCGCAUUGGUGUUGGCAAAGUAUGAACUUAUUAGGUGUCAUUUUGUUUCAGUUCAAUUAUUUUCUCAAUUUUAAGAGUAGCAAGAUAAUCUGUUGAUCUCCCAGUUCAAAAACAUCAUGCUUCCUGCUUCUAAAACUAGGGUCAAAAUCUCACCAUAUGCAUGUGGUAAAUUACCCGAUAAAAAUGCUAUUCAAAGAUUGCACAUAUUUUUACUGCACUCUUGCCAAUUUGUUCAUACCAUGCUAUAUUAAAUUUGAAAAAUAAUGAUGCGUGCACCAAAAUUUCAUUCUUGGAAACUAGUCUCUUCCUUCUAUGGUUGGCUUCAUAUGAAAUUAUUUCAAUUUGUAGCACAUUACAUGUGUUGUCAGAAUAAAUUUUUCUAUAUUCAGGGAAGUGUUUGGUGUCUGUUACCUUCAUUGUUAGAAUCAAUAGAAUGGCCUUUAUAAUUCUUUGUGAUGCCGUAUAGGUUUUGAUAGAUCAAUAUGCUUCCCUUUAGUUCAAAAGGUCAUAAUGGCCUAGCAAUACUCUUUAUAUGUGUAUAUCAUAUAGGAAUAGGAUCAAUCAAUAACCAACAAACUUCUGAAAGUGAUAAACUAAUGAUGUUGUCUUAUCUUUGAUUAGCAUCAAUUUUGGAGUUUGAGGACAUGAUAAAAGUUAGCUUCUCCAUUCUUUGUUCAUGAUUUUCACUGUCAUUAUAAUAACCCAGUCUUGUCUUGAAAUAUUAUAUGAUGAAUGCCUUGAAUACAAGUCUGAGUAACGUACUGACGACAACCUAGAACUUUAAAAAUUAAGCCAUUUGACUAGGCUUUCUUCAUUGACAUUGAUGAAAAAUCUUGGGUCAAGUUAUGAAAGACCACAAUGAAAUCACCACUAAUUUUGAAUUGCAAGAUAAGCAUCUUCAAUGCAAAGAGUUUAAUUAACGAACUACAACAAGAGGCAGCUAAAUUUUUGGGCCAUUUCCAGUUUAGUAGUUGGACUCAUUGCCUAGUACUGAGGUUGUUUCCAAUCACAUAAGAUCUGAUUUAAGACCAUGGGUACGUCGAUUUAAUAGCAAUGCGAAGUGACCCAUCCGAUAACGGUAAACAUGCAUUAGACCUGCAAUUCUAGAGAAAAUUACUUAGCCAUCCAAUUCCUCUUACCAAGACCCUAGAACUUCAAUUAUUGGAAUAUAAUUAGGCUCACUUCAUUUAGGUGGCUUAAGCCAUGUGAUUAAGCUCACUCAUCAAACUUCUGAACACGUAAGCUUCCUAGAGUAUGACAACUUCAUUCUUACAUUGAUCAAUUAUCUUUUGCAUGAAUAUUAUUUGUCCAGGUCAUUAGGGGAUUAGAUCAGGGAAUUCUCGGGGGUGAUGGAGUACCACCAAUGCAAGUAGGUGGGAAACGUAAGCUUCAAAUUCCUCCAAAGUUAGCAUAUGGGCCAGAACCUGCAGGUUGCUUUUCAGGUGACUGCAAUAUCCCUGCCAAUGCAACUCUUGUGUAUGAUAUCAAUCUUGUUCGCAUCUACUCAGGAAAUAGAAAGUGAAGUCCAUAAUCAUAUGACAACAAAGUGAAGAAAGUCCAAUAUAGAUUGAGUAAGUCCCCUGAUGUCUUGGAAAUGAUACUAUUGCACAUUAUUGGAUAGAUAUACUUUGGAUGUGAAUCAUAACAAUAUGUGCCAUCUACUUUCUUAUGUACAGUUAACCAAGAAAUAGAACAUCAAGGGCUGCUAAUAUAUUGGUCAGACCCAUGUCUAAUAAUUCACAUUUGAAUUGGUAUACUUGAAUUUAUAUUCUUUCCACCCCUACCUUGCAUAAUCAGUGAUAUACUGUGAUGCAAGCAGUCAUAAAGACUGGAUUAAUCCUGUUUUCAGUACCAACAGUUAUUAAAAUGUGGGAUCAUGGCUGUCAAUGACACUUCCAAUUUUCUAUCCAAAACUUAAGAAGUUUUCUAAAAUUUUGACAAGCCAAUGGUGGAGUUCAAUGAAUACUUCAGAAGGCCCACGGUGCUAUAGAUUGCAUAUGGCUUAGUCCCUUCCAGGGACAGAGUGAGCUCACUAGUAGUAGGAACACAUGUAUGAUGCAUGAUACACACAGACACUCUUCAGUUGUAUGAUGCUUUUGGUUUGAACACAUCAACUAGUAAAGCAGAGCAAUUAUGCAUUAAUCCUAAAUAUUCUGCAUAUGAUAAGCAUCUUUCAUCAGUCUUUUCCUCAUAAUUCACAUGAUAAAUUUUUUCCCAAUUACUUGUUACAUAAACAAUUAUGCAAAUUGGGCUGAUUAAAACAACUAUUAAUGAUAGCCCCAAAGUUUUAUGGGCACUUGCUGCUUUACCAUGAAGAUGGAUUUGCUAUUAAUAAAUAAAUUUGAUUUAUAAAAUUAUUUGCUGCAAUUAUACUGAUCUGAUGUGCUUUCUUUGCUUUUGUACUCUGAAUUUGCCUGAAGUUGGUUGUUUCUCAUAGUUUACAGAAAGUGAAGACCUUUAGAGUAUGGAUCAAAUUUUAUGUCCGGGUAUGAUGAUGAUUCACACUAUUAAGAGGAUGAGCAUAACUUAGCUGUGCUUACUUUGAGGAGGGAAGUCUUCUAUCUUCUUUGGUGGGGGAAUGAAGUUAAACGAGUUGAUUCCUAUCUUUUGUACGUAGCAAGAGACAUAAAUUUUGUACCUAAUAAUUUUUAGAUCUUAUUUUUUCAGUUUAUCAAACUUUUUGUGUUGCUGCUUACUUGAAGUAUGCGUAUAUGAUGCCUUACAUGCUAGAAAAAUCUGUCUCUUCAUUUAUCUGUCCCUUAUCUGCCUUUAAAUUUUUUCUUUUUAAAUCAAAAUGAAUGAUUUUGCACUGUUAAUAGAACAGUGAUGGAAGAGUCUGGAAAAUGAACAUAAAUUCUUCUGUUGUUGAGUGCAUCUUCAUCUUCACAAAAUCUUUAUUAGAAUUGGGUGUAAAUAUGCUUUUUGAAUUCUGGAUAUUGCAUGAAUGUCUUUACGCUUCCUUUGGAUCAGUGAAAAUUUGAAGAAAAGAGAAAAGAAAGAUUCUUUUCUCGCGUUUGGUUGGUUCUUGUGAAAAAAAAAAAAAAAAAAAAAA